UGGCCUGCUUACUUAAUAUAUCCUGUCC
rnacentral:piRNA from 1 species